UACGAAGGGGGCUAGCGUUGCUCGGAAUCACUGGGCGUAAAGCGCACGUAGGCGGACUCUUAAGUCAGGGGUGAAAUCCUGGAGCUCAACUCCAGAACUGCCUUUGAUACUGGGGGCCUUGAGUUCGGGAGAGGUGAGUGGAACUGCGAGUGUAGAGGUGAAAUUCGUAGAUAUUGCAAGAACACCAGUGGCGAAGGCGGCUCACUGGCCCGAGUACUGACGCUGAGGUGCGAAAGCGUGGGGAGCAAACAGGG
rnacentral:rRNA from 1 species